CUGGGGCCCUCCCCGCUUUGUUCUCCUGGAGGAGAGUGUCUUGAAUUAUAGCUGAUAACUCUCACUAACAUCUCCAUUCUUUAUCCCACAUUUCUUUGUCUCCUUUCGAUUGGGGUUAGUUAGAGUUCUUCACUUUCCUUACAGUUCAGGUUUAUGUAAUCUUGGGUUUCUUCUUACCUCGAUGGCUAGAUUCUAGAAAUUGGAGAGGACACUUGUGACUGAGCAGCAUGUCUGGCAAUGAGACAUCAAGAGAGUCCUGACGCUGAUGGAGGCCUUCACCUGUUGACAGGAUGGCUCUGUGUCAUCCCAGAGAGGGAUGCCAUCACCAGAGAGCACGUCAUAAGGACAAAACACUACUUCCUUCCUUCUUCUCUCAUGCUUCUAGGUCAGCCUGGCUGCCACUGUCCCUAUCUGAUCCUGGGGACUCCAAAAAGGUUUCAGAGACAGAGGAGAGUCCAGUCCUGUGGUCCUGGCCAGACGAGGAUUUCACCAUUGACCUUGCAUCCUUAUGCUUCUCCAGACUAUCCCGUGCUGUUGUCUUGGCUGGAAGCACAGGAUGCCAUGUCACAUUCCACUGUGGGAACAGGCAUUCAAUGUGUACAGUGCUUCCCUUAACUCGAGAGUUCUAGAAAAUAAACUAUUGCCCACCUUUUUCA
rnacentral:lncRNA from 1 species